rnacentral:tRNA from 1 species
ACCUGGCUGGCUCAGUAGGAGGGGCAUGUGACUCUUGAUCUCAGGGUCAUGAGUUCAAGCCCCAUGUUGGGUG